AGCGAGCUUCUGGUCAAAUGCGCAUCAAGUCAAAGCUCCUCUGCAUUGUUAAGAUAAGUUGAAACGUCCUUUCAACGGCAGGCGGUAUGUUUCGAGUGCGUGAACUCGGUGUAUAAAAACAAACUCUCGAGAUAAUCUAAAUUUCACGCUUCUGGAAGUUUCUCGAGAGGAUGCCGUGAUUUGCAAGAAGUGCUUCCAAAUAAUGCUAAUAUCGACGCUUCGAUGUCACAUUACGAGUUGUUGUUGUUCCAUUUCUUAUGAACAGCUAACAAUGUAACCUAGUUGGCCGAGCCUAGCUCGUGUACAUUCGUCAAAACAAUAGCAUCCAAUGCUGAUUGGAAUACUGAUUAAAAACUCGAGCACAAGACAUUGUUUUCUUUCAUGUGACAUCGAAGGACGGUCGUAUUCGUUACUCUUCAAGUCUGAACGUGAAUUCAGAUUAAACCAAUCCCGCUCGAGCACGGUUGGUUUUUCGCGAACUAUAAAUAUUAAGGCUAAGGCGAUCCGAGGAGACAACGUCGUCAUUCUUGACACACAAGUCCGGUACACCGCAGCGCUAAGUUAGGAGUCUCCCACUCUCUAUCCGGAUUCUCGCAAGAGACUCACCUUUUUUGUUGAUUAUUAAACAAGCUGUUUUUAAGAAAACAAAUCUAGUGAUUCGAACCUCCUGUACCGUAUCCAAACGCAUUUUAUUGCAACUUUCUGUCGCGUGGGAAUCAGCGACAUUUUAUUGCACGUGUCGAACGUUCACCACUUUGCAACCGAUCAACGAAGAGCUUCUGUUUCAACGCAGCGAAGAAGCCAUUAUCAUCAUUUAAUUCGAGGCAAGAAGGGAAGGAAAAGCGAUAUAAGCUAUUACGGAACACAUCGCCAACACUGCUUUAUGACGUCACGUUCACAGCACUGGCAGUGAAUAUCGGAAUGCACCCUGAUUAUACGAUGUCAUGCAGUAGAGCGGCAAGACAGUUCCAAAAUUACUGCUAUUGAUUUUAUUGCGUAUUUCGCAGUAAUAACGAAACGGAGGAUUUACGUUCCGCAGUACACAAUCACAGUGUACAGUGAGAACUACAGAAAGAAAUAUAAAAUAAAACCUCGCUUAUUAUUUCUGUCAAAAUUAUGUCGAAAACGUUAUACCUUUAUAUACAGAUAAAGAAUUUUAGAUGCACUUUCGAUAAGUAAAUAAGAAAACGCAACGGAAUACUUUUGAAUUUUUAUUGAAUUUAUUAAGACCAAAACUGUGUAAACAGAGUGAGAGAUUUGGUAGAGAACCCAUUUCUCCUGAGAAACAAUUACUUACUGCAAUAUGGAUAUUGGCUACACCAAAUUCUUAUAGAUGUGUUUCAGAUAGGUUUAAUAUAGGCAAAGGUACUGCAUGGCGAAGUGUGCAGAGAGUAAUAAAUGCUUUAUAUGCAAAUGUAAGAACAUUUAUACGUUGGCCAAAUAGACAAGAACCAGAGCAAACUAUGGGAACAAUAAAGGACCAUUACGGUUUUCCAGGUGUUAUCAGUGCAGUGGAUGGUUAUUUAUGAUGUGCAACUACGGUUUAUACAUUGUUACAAGGGACAAGUGGGAUUUGUCCAUGAUAUGCGUGUUUUUCGAUUAUCUAAUGUCGAAAACAUGUUUACAGAUGAAAAUUUUCCAAACGACAGCCAUAUAUUAGAUGAGCAUAUUAGCAGUAUAUCGUCUUACUAAACAUGUUAUAGUACCAUUUAAAGACAA
rnacentral:misc_RNA from 1 species